GAAAGAGCUUCUGCCCUGAGACUCAGAAAAAUAUUCUCCUGUGCUUCGGUUCAGUAUAGAUUUCUAAACCCUGAUCAUUGCUUAAGAGAUAUUCACUGAGGGUCCUACGUCUCUGCAAUUUGUGUAUGAAUAACAGAAUAAUUUCCCUCUUUUGUUUCGCCUUUCCUGUUCCUGAAUCUAAAUAAAGAUGGCUUUUUAGUAUUAAAAGUGGAAGAAAAUUACAGGUAAUUAUCUUUGACGGUAAAAACGCUGUAAUCAGCGGGCUACAUGAAAAAUUACUCUAAUUAUGGCUGCAUUUAAGAGAAUGGAAAAAAACCUUCUUGUGGAUAAAAACCUUAAAUUGUCCCCAAUGUCUGCUUCAAAUUGGAUGGCACUGCAGCUGGAGGCUUUGUUCAGAAUUGAUCCUGGGGAGCUACGAACCCAAAGUUUCACAGUAGGAAGGGGGAAAAAAGAAAAGAAAACAUUUUUCCUAAUGUAACAAUGCGAAUGCUAGAAAAUGACAAGACUGAUCGGUUUUAAACCAUUCUGAAGACUGACUGAGCGUGGAAGUUGCUCAACAAAAAAAGGAACGGGUAUAUUGUUGCUGAGACAAAGGAAAACCCACUCCCUUGGAGGAGCAUGACCUUUUCCUGUAAUUCUUCCCACUGCUGUUGUUGAGCUCCUUGGACCAUGGCUCCUGGACACCAUCAUCAAGAAGACUUUAUGGAUGGGCUGUCCACCCACUGAGAGAAGAGGAGCAUCAGCUACAGUUUCUCUCUAGAUUGCCUUCUUCAUUUUGAGUAAUGACUGUCAGCAGGGUCAGAUUAAAGACAAAACAACUGGACAAUUGCUUGGAGGACUAAACUAUAAGGGCACUAACAUAUCAAUAGUAUGCUAACACAUCCAUGGAAAAUAUAUUUACCAGCUCUUCUCUCAGGGAGGAUUCUGUGUGGGGUUGGAAGUAAUGAUUUGUUAAAUUCCUUAGGGGUAGAAAGUAGGGCAUAAUCAGAAUAUAGAGGAAUAGGCUGUUUGACUUCAGGGUUUCUGUUUUUCUUACUAGGAUAUAUAAAACAGGGACUCUAGCUAGAUUGUUUAUGACCACAGAGGGUAGGCUGAGCGCUCUCAUGAUCUUCCUGCUUGGUUCUUGCCCAUACAGAGGUCAGCCUUUCCUCUAAUAAAGAUUGAACAAGUAGUGGUCUGAGGGAGACACCAACUCAUUACCCUACAUGUCUCUUCUCUGCACUCCAGGGCUUUGAUAAUAAAGACACUGGCAGACUAUCUAUCUUCCAUUUCUAUAAUGUGAGCCCUUAGGGAGUCUUCGUUCACUUGGGGGUGAGGGUCAUUGCUCACAGAGUAGUUCAAGUCAAAUGGAACUUGAACUCUUUGCCUAUGGGCCUGGUGGUCAGACUCUGUGUUGAGUUCAUUAGAUUAUUGGAGACACAAGGUAGAGCUGGAUGCUUCAAAAAUAUUUGGCUAAAGGAUGACAUUGCUGGUUAUUUGUAGAUAAAGCCAUGAUGGAACCUGCUUGGAAUCAUGAAAUAUGGAACUGGUGGUCAUGUUUAAAAAUACAACUAAUAGUUAAGUACCUACUGGACACUGUAGAGACUUAGGGGCUAGACAGACAUGGUUCCUGCCCCCAUGGAGCUUACACUGUAGCUUCCCCUUAGGUAUGAAGAACAGUGGCUACAACUAACAAAUGGCCACAAAGAUAUAAUUGAGCCAGUGUUCCAAUUAUUAGGGUAAUUCCUAUUUCCUUAAUCAUGCCUAUUGACCAUGUUCUAUAAGCCUGCAUUCUAUAAAUGGCCUAUGACCAUGGGCUGUUUCCCCCCAGCAAGUUGUACAAAGUUCUGUGGUACCAGGGAAAGGGCUUAAGGUUAGCAGGGCCUCUGGGGAAGGACAUAUGAAGUGACUUGGGUUAGGAAACAGGAAGGGAUAGGAUUCAAGAACAGCUAUUGCUUCUGUUCUAUAUAGGAAACUGCAGCGUGAAAAAUGCUGGGCUGGGAAUUUUGAGACCUGGGUUUUAGUUUGUGUUCUAAUACUAACAAGCUAUGUGACUGUGGUUAAGUCAUUUCACAUUCCAUUUGGAUGCCUCUUGAGUGACUCCAGGCCUCUCCAGCUCUAAAACAUUGAGAUCAGGCCCUACGCUACAGCUGGCCAGUGUGUAGUUCUUCUGUUUCUAUGCUGUUAGGUCAAAUAGAUCUUCAAUAGUUACUUGAUUGUUAUUACUUUUUUCUGAAGUGGGUGUUUUAUCAGUGUUUUAGGAUACAGUGAGUCUGCUUCUCCCCUUUGGAGUUAGGAAGGUUGUAGGAAUAUACACUGUAGAGCAUAUGGGAGCUUUAUCUCCUCCUUUUUCCCCCCCUACCUUUCUCCCUCUCCUUCCCUUCGUCACAUUUCUAUUGAGCAUAUGCCAUUGCCGUGUACCAGGUGUGUGCUAGGUUUGGAGAUACAAGGUAAACUUGAGACUUUCCCAGCCUCCAGGAGACAAAACCCUAAUUUCUUUCAUCUGCUGUCUUUCUCUUUGGAAAGAAUCAACGAUAUCCCAGGGGAAUGUGCCCAUGUCCCAGGGUAACCAACUACAGACAGAUGCCCCAUUCUACUCAAGCAACUUUUAGAGUGCCUUGAGAUACACAUCAGAUAAUUAUGCAGGGCCAGGCAUGGUGGUGCACACUUGUAAUCACAGCACUUUGGGAGGCCGAGGCAGCAGAUUGCUUGAGCCCAGGAAUUCAAGUGUAGCCUAGGGAACAUGGCAAAACCCCAGCUCUACAAAAAAAUACACAAAUUAGCUGCGUGUGGUGGCCUAUGACAGGAGGCUGAGAUGGGAGGAUUGCUUGAGCCUGUGAGGUCGAGGCUGCAGUGAGCCGAGAUCAUGCCAUUGCACUCCAGCCUGGGUGACAUAGGGAGACCCUGUCUUGAAAAAAAAAAAAAAAAAAAGAUAAUUAUUCAGCCCUAGAGUCAUUGUGAAAAGAUCUAUCUUCAGAUAUAAGGAAGAAACAAUCUUUUAUUUCUUAGGAUAAAUCUGUAGAAGGACCUCCAGACAGUGAAGGCCACUGACUACUUUACACUCUGUAAGCCAUCCCUCCCUGGUAGGAAGGACUAUUUCCAAUCUUACAGAGUACCUCUCAGCAAAUAGACGUUUUCACAUAUACUGUGAUUCAUACAUCCCUAUGGCUGGUGACCUCUUUAAAAAGGAAAGGAAAAAGCCUAAUCAAACAAAAAGAUUCUUUUUUUUACAAUAUUACAAUUGUAAUUACAAUAGUAAUUCUUACCCUAUUGUGAAUCCUAUAUAAGCAAAUUUGUAUCUUUGUUUUUUCCCACAUUAGCAGAUCUAUUUGAUGUAUAUCUCUGAGUGCAGAAAAUAUUUUAUGGAAAAAUCAAUAUAUGGAAUUUCAAAUUCAGAAUUGCUGAUACACACUAUUUGGUUUCAGAAUUUUAUCCUAGGAAAUAGUAUUAGAGAUUUCAAUUUCUGGCUUAAAUGGUAGAAUUAAUUACUCUUAACUCUUAAUUUUACUUCUGAGUUGAGGUCAAGGAACAGGCAGACACCUCCAGUUAACGUCUAUACCUCUCCAUGGCCAAGAGUUUUAAUUUUCUCGUCUUCAGUUUUGUAGAUGUACAUCAUUACUAAAUGGAUUGAUUAGUAUUUUAUCUCCUCUCCUUGUCCUUACUUUCCCUCUGGUAAAUAUGUUAUAAACAGUGUAAGGCUCCUAAGAUAGAGUAGCUGGUAGGACUUAGAAGAGAAACAAAGGGCACUGAUAACUCACAUAAAUGGAAAAUUGGCUCUGGAAUAACUGACAACAUAUUCAAGUAUUUUAGUGCAGUGUCAUUCUCAUUAAGAAGAAGAGAACCAGUAAAUCUAUGUGACUCUAAACAUUCUAAUGAAAAAAGGAAUAUUCUGCCAAUUAUCUCACAUUUCUAAAUAUCUGGAUAUUGGCCAUCAUAAAGACAAAACAUACAGAUGAUGGACUUGUCUUUCCACCUCUCAUUUGCAUGGUUUGGAGCAUUGUACCUCCAGCCAUUGACUCUAAGGCAAUUUAUAUUUGCUUCCUCUUCCCUCUUGAGAGAAAACGAAAAUCUUAUUUUUCCAAGCAAUUAAAACUCUUCUGCUUCAGCUAGGAUGAAAGAAUUAGGAGUUCUGUCUCUUUGUAUCUAAUUGCAUGUUUCAUCUUUCUUGUUUUAAUGAUUGACAGAAAACUAAUAAACUGAGACAUCUUUGAAUCCAGGUUGAAUGUA
rnacentral:antisense_RNA from 1 species